rnacentral:snoRNA from 1 species
UGAGCAUCAGUGAUGAAUCCAUGAAAAAAUUGUUAUCCUUGCACUUUGAUUGCCAGUGAAGAUAAAAAUGGGGUUUUUCAAUUUCUGAGAUGCUC